rnacentral:rRNA from 2 species
GCAUAUCAAUAAGCGGAGGAAAAGAAACCAACAGGGAUUGCCCUAGUAACGGCGAGUGAAGCGGCAACAGCUCAAAUUUGAAAUCUGGCUUUCGGGCCCGAGUUGUAAUUUGUAGAGGAUGAUUUUGAUGCGGUGCCUUCCGAGUUCCCUGGAACGGGACGCCAUAGAGGGUGAGAGCCCCGUCUGGUUGGAUGCCAAAUCUCUGUAAAUCUCCUUCGACGAGUCGAGUAGUUUGGGAAUGCUGCUCUAAAUGGGAGGUAUAUGUCUUCUAAAGCUAAAUACCGGCCAGAGACCGAUAGCGCACAAGUAGAGUGAUCGAAAGAUGAAAAGCACUUUGAAAAGAGAGUUAAAAAGUACGUGAAAUUGUUGAAAGGGAAGCGUUUAUGACCAGACUUGGGCUUGGUUAAUCAUCUGGGGUUCUCUCCAGUGCACUUUUCCAGUCCAGGCCAGCAUCAGUUUUCGCCGGGGGAUAAAGGCUUCGGGAAUGUGGCUCCCCUCGGGGAGUGUUAUAGCCCGUUGUGUAAUACCCUGGUGGGGACUGAGGUUCGCGCUUCUGCAAGGAUGCUGGCGUAAUGGUCAUCAACGACCCGUCUUGAAACACGGACCAAGGAGUCGUCUUCGUAUGCGAGUGUUCGGGUGUCAAACCCCUACGCGUAAUGAAAGUGAACGCAGGUGAGAGCUUCGGCGCAUCAUCGACCGAUCCUGAUGUUCUCGGAUGGAUUUGAGUAAGAGCAUACGGGGCCGGACCCGAAAGAAGGUGAACUAUGCCUGUGUAGGGUGAAGCCAGAGGAAACUCUGGUGGAGGCUCGCAGCGGUUCUGACGUGCAAAUCGAUCGUCAAACAUGGGCAUGGGGGCGAAAGACUAAUCGAACCUUCUAGUAGCUGGUUUCCGCGA